rnacentral:rRNA from 1 species
AUGCAAGUCGAGCGGAAAGGCCCCUUCGGGGGUACUCGAGCGGCGAACGGGUGAGUAACACGUGAGCAACCUGCCCCUGACUCUGGGAUAAGCCCGGGAAACUGGGUCUAAUACCGGAUAUAACCACUGGUCUCAUGAUCGGGUGGUGGAAAGUUUUUCGGUUGGGGAUGGGCUCGCGGCCUAUCAGCUUGUUGGUGGGGUGAUGGCCUACCAAGGCGACGACGGGUAACCGGCCUGAGAGGGCGACCGGUCACACUGGGACUGAGACACGGCCCAGACUCCUACGGGAGGCAGCAGUGGGGAAUAUUGCGCAAUGGGCGGAAGCCUGACGCAGCGACGCCGCGUGAGGGAUGACGGCCUUCGGGUUGUAAACCUCUUUCAGCAGGGACGAAGCUAACGUGACGGUACCUGCAGAAGAAGCGCCGGCUAACUACGUGCCAGCAGCCGCGGUAAUACGUAGGGCGCAAGCGUUGUCCGGAAUUAUUGGGCGUAAAGAGCUCGUAGGCGGUUUGUCGCGUCUGUCGUGAAAGCCCACGGCUUAACCGUGGGUCUGCGGUGGAUACGGGCAGACUAGAGGCAGGUAGGGGAGAAUGGAAUUCCCGGUGUAGCGGUGAAAUGCGCAGAUAUCGGGAGGAACACCGGUGGCGAAGGCGGUUCUCUGGGCCUGUACUGACGCUGAGGAGCGAAAGCGUGGGGAGCGAACAGGAUUAGAUACCCUGGUAGUCCACGCCGUAAACGUUGGGCGCUAGGUGUGGGGUCCUUCCACGGAUUCCGCGCCGCAGCUAACGCAUUAAGCGCCCCGCCU